rnacentral:lncRNA from 1 species
AAAAUGCAAAUCUUCCUGAAAACCCUGACCGGCAAGACCAUCACCCUGGAGGUGGAGCCAAGUGACAUCCUCCAAAAUGUGAAGGCCAAGAUCCAUGUUAAAGAGGGCAUCCCCCCUGACCAGCACAGUCUCAUCUUUGUAGGCAAGCAGUUAGAAGAUGGCUGCACUGUUUGUGACUACAACAUUCAGAAAGAGUCAGCCCUGCACCUGGUCCUCCAUCUGAGGGGUGGCUAUUAAUUCU